rnacentral:rRNA from 1 species
GAUGGUGCUGUACGCACACAUGUUGUGCAGCCUGUCAGGUCUGCAGCCUUUGGAUGCCCUUGAAAAGUGUCUGCGGGGGAUGGCACGUUUACUUUGAACAAAUUUGAGUGCUCAAGGCAGGCCGAUGUUGCCUGAAAAGUUUUGCAUGGAAUAAUGGAAUAGGAGUUCUAUUUCGUUGGUCGAAGUAAUGAUCAAGAGAGACAGGCGGGGACGUUUGUAUGGCUGCGCUAGAGGUGAAAUUCAUGGACCGUAGCCAGACAAACUAAAGCGAAAGCAUUCGUCAAGCAUGUUUUCAUUGGCCAUGAGCGAAAGUCAGAGGCUCGAAGACGAUCACCCAUACCGUCACUCUAGUUCUGACCAUAAACGAUGCCAACUGACGAUCCGUGGUGGUAGUGGUGUUACCUUCCCCACGGGCAGUCCCCGGGAAACCUUUAAGUGUUUGGGUUCCGGGGGAAGUAUGGUUGCAAAGCUGAAACUUAAAGGAAUUGACGGAAGGGCACCACCAGGAGUGGAGCCUGCGGCUUAAUUUGACUCAAAUACGGGAAAACUCACCCGGGCCGGACACUAUGAGGAUUGACAGAUUGAGAGCUCUUUCUUGAUUUGGUGGUUGGUGGUGCAUGGCCGUUCUUAGUUGGUGGAGCGAUUUGUCUGGUUAAUCCCGAUAACGAACGAAACUCCAGCCUGCUAAUUAGUGCAUUUGUCCACUGCACCUGUGACGGUGGCGUUGGACGAUACCGUGCUCGCCGCGAGGCAUGCGCUCUGGCGUUGUCACUGCUGGCGUCGUAUGCUGCGUGCAUGCUGGUGCCCACGUGAGCGUUCUACUGUCUCCUCCUGCUCCUCCUUCCCCUCCUCCUCCAUCCUCGUCGUAGUAGUUGUUGCUGCUGUUGUCGUCGUCGGCGGCGGCCGCGACUGCGACGAUGGCGCGAGGGUGGUGGGUGGGUGUGGGGGGGGGGGGGGGGUAGGACGAAAUCAGNACGACUACGUNNNNCUCUAGCCUUCACUCACGUCUAGCCAUUAAUAGCUGACCAAUGNNNNACUAAUGCUGACUAAUUUUNNNNGUUACGGGCGGGAGAAGUCCCCCCAACCCCNNCAAUAACAAAUCUGUGAUGCCCUUAGAUGUCCNNNNCCUCACGCGCGCUUCAAUGACGGUGUCAGCGAGUCAGAC